rnacentral:tRNA from 1 species
AUUUCAAUAAAAACAGAUAGUUAUGAUUUCUCGGACGCGGGUUCAACUCCCGCCAGCUCCACCA